AGUAACACGUGGAUAACCUACCUAUAAGACUGGGAUAACUUCGGGAAACCGGAGCUAAUACCGGAUAAGAAAGCGGAUCGCAUGAUCAGCUUUUAAAAGGCGGCGUAAGCUGUCGCUAUGGGAUGGCCCCGCGGUGCAUUAGCUAGUUGGUAAGGUAAAGGCUUACCAAGGCGAUGAUGCAUAGCCGAGUUGAGAGACUGAUCGGCCACAUUGGGACUGAGACACGGCCCAAACUCCUACGGGAGGCAGCAGCA
rnacentral:rRNA from 1 species